rnacentral:rRNA from 1 species
GAUGAACGCUAGCGGCAGGCCUAACACAUGCAAGUCGAGGGGUAACAUAGAAAAGCUUGCUUUUCUGAUGACGACCGGCGCACGGGUGCGUAACGCGUAUACAACCUACCUUUUAGCGGGGAAUAGCCCAGGGAAACUUGGAUUAAUGCCCCAUAGUAUAUAGACUUCUCCUGAAGUUUAUAUUAAACAUUUAUGGCUAUUAGAUGGGUAUGCGUCCUAUUAGUUAGUUGGUAAGGUAACGGCUUACCAAGGCAGCGAUAGGUAGGGGUCCUGAGAGGGAGAUCCCCACACUGGUACUGAGACACGGACCAGACUCCUACGGGAGGCAGCAGUGAGGAAUAUUGGACAAUGGGCGAGAGCCUGAUCCAGCCAUGCCGCGUGCAGGAAGACUGCCCUAUGGGUUGCAAACUGCUUUUACAGAGGAAGAACCACCCCACGUGUGGGGGUUUGACGGUACUCUGCGAAUAAGGAUCGGCUAACUCCGUG